GAUGAACGCUGGCGGCGUGCUUAACACAUGCAAGUCGAACGGUGAAGCAGGAGCUUGCUCCUGUGGAUCAGUGGCGAACGGGUGAGUAACACGUGAGCAAUCUGCCCUGGACUCUGGGAUAAGCGUUGGAAACGACGUCUAAUACCGGAUACGAGGCGUGGGGGCAUCCCCAACGCCUGGAAAGAACUUCGGUCCAGGAUGAGCUCGCGGCCUAUCAGGUAGUUGGUGAGGUAAUGGCUCACAAAGCCGACGACGGGUAGCCGGCCUGAGAGGGUGACCGGCCACACUGGGACUGAGACACGGCCCAGACUCCUACGGGAGGCAGCAGUGGGGAAUAUUGCACAAUGGGCGCAAGCCUGAUGCAGCAACGCCGCGUGAGGGACGACGGCCUUCGGGUUGUAAACCUCUUUUAGCAGGGAAGAAGCGAAAGUGACGGUACCUGCAGAAAAAGCACCGGCUAACUACGUGCCAGCAGCCGACGUAAGAC
rnacentral:rRNA from 1 species